AUUGAACGCUGGCGGCAGGCCUAACACAUGCAAGUCGAACGGUAACAGGAAGAAGCUUGCUUCUUUGCUGACGAGUGGCGGACGGGUGAGUAAUGUCUGGGAAACUGCCUGAUGGAGGGGGAUAACUACUGGAAACGGUAGCUAAUACCGCAUAACGUCGCAAGACCAAAAAAGGGGGACCUUCGGGCCUCUUGCCAUCGGAUGUGCCCAGAUGGGAUUAGCUAGUAGGUGGGUAACGGCUCACCUAGGCGACGAUCCCUAGCUGGUCUGAGAGGAUGACCAGCCACACUGGAACUGAGACACGGUCCAGACUCCUACGGGAGGCAGCAGUGGGGAAUAUUGCACAAUGGGC
rnacentral:rRNA from 1 species